AUAUAUUUUAUAAAAAAAAAAUCUGUUCUUAUCAGUUUAAUAUCUGAUACGUCCCCCAUCGGGGGACUACAUAUUAAAUGGAUUUUUCGAACAGGGGAGUCGGAAAUGGGGCUUGCUCCGUCCGGCUCCACGCAUCGACCCGGUAUUGCAGUACCUCCGGGAACGGUGCAACACUU
rnacentral:snRNA from 1 species